rnacentral:rRNA from 1 species
AUACGUAGGGAGCGAGCGUUGUCCGGAAUUACUGGGCGUAAAGGGCGCGUAGGCGGCGCUUCAAGUCGUCUGUCAAAUGGGAGGGCUUAACCCUUUUUCGCAGACGAAACUGGAGAGCUUGAGUAGCAGAGAGGCAAACAGAAUUCCUGGUGUAGCGGUGAAAUGCGUAGAUAUCAGGAAGAAUACCAGUGGCGAAGGCGGUUUGCGGGCUGCAUACUGACGCUGAAGCGCGAAAGCCGGGGGAGCAAACGGGAUUAGAUACCCCGGUAGUCCUGGCAGUAAACGAUGUAUGCUGGGUGUGAGACUAGCGAUAGUUUCGUGCCGAAGUUAACGCGAUAAGCAUACCGCCUGGGGAGUACGGUCGCAAGAUUGAAACUUAAAGGAAUUGACGGGG